rnacentral:rRNA from 1 species
UACGUAGGGUGCGAGCGUUGUCCGGAAUUAUUGGGCGUAAAGAGCUCGUAGGCGGUUUGUCACGUCGGCCGUGAAAACUCGGGGCUCAACCCCGAGCCUGCGGUCGAUACGGGCAGACUAGAGUGCUGUAGGGGAGACUGGAAUUCCUGGUGUAGCGGUGAAAUGCGCAGAUAUCAGGAGGAACACCGGUGGCGAAGGCGGGUCUCUGGGCAGUAACUGACGCUGAGGAGCGAAAGCGUGGGGAGCGAACAGG